GUGAUAUUGGAGUAAUUUGAGUUCUUGAAAAAGUCUAGUUUUAGACGAAAGAUGCCAAGAGGAAGAAGGGCAAGCUUCAAAAGCUAGGAGGAGUUUGAUUGUGUGAAGAAGAUAAGUUGUUGUCCACCUUGCUAGCACAAAGGCAUAGUUGAGAAAGCUCCCUCCUUGCGAAGGUUCAAGUGUAACUAUGUAUGCAACCGUUGAAGGCCAAGCAUUUAAGUGGCUUGGGUUUUUCGCUCCCUUUGUGGUGUUCAUGGGUUGGACAAGGAAAAAGUACCAUCACGAUAACCACAUCACUUAGUAAAGCUAAUCUUAUUUUUUCUGAUUAUUUCUUUCUUCUGAUUUUGUUUGUAUUAAAACCACCAAGGAGAUCCAUGGUAGGUGCGGCGUGUUUUCGUUUUUCA